rnacentral:rRNA from 1 species
UUUCCAGUCGUGAGGAAGGUAGUGUAGUUAAUUAGCUGCAUUAUUUGACGUUUAGCGACAGAAGAAGCACCGGCUAACUCCGUGCCAGCAGCCGCGGUAAUACGGAGGGUGCGAGCGUUAAUCGGAAUUACUGGGCGUAAAGCGCAUGCAGGUGGUUUGUUUAAGUUCAGAUGUGAAAGACCCGGGGCGUCAACCUCGGAAUAGCAUUUGAAACUAGGCAGACUAGAGUACUGUAGAGGGGGGUAGGAAGUUUCAGGUGUAGCGGUGAAAUGCGUAGAGAUCUGAAGGAAUACCGGUGGCGAAGGCGGCCCCCUCGGACAGAUACUGACACUCAGAUGCGAAAGCGUUGGGAGCAAACAGGAUUAGAUACCCUGGUAG